rnacentral:rRNA from 1 species
AAACUUUCAACAACGGGAUCUCUGGGUUCUGGCAUCGAUGAAGAACGCAGCGAAAUGCGAUAAGUAAUGUGAAUUGCAGAAUUCAGUGAAUCAUCGAAUCUUUGAACGCACAUUGCGCCCCUUGGUAUUCCGAGGGGCAUGCCUGUUCGAGCGUCAUUU